GAUGAACGCUAGCUACAGGCUUAACACAUGCAAGUCGAGGGACCGGCGCACGGGUGAGUAACACGUAUCCAACCUGCCCUUUACUCGGGGAUAGCCUUUCGAAAGAAAGAUUAAUACCCGAUAUAAAGGAUGGGGAUGCGUUCGAUUAGGUUGUUGGUGAGGUAACGGCCCACCAAGUCUUCGAUGGAUAGGGGUGCUGAGAGGAAGGUCCCCCACAUUUGAGCUGAGACACAGUCCAAAAUCCGACGGCAGGCAGCAGUAAGGAAUAUUGGUCAAUGAGCGUUAGCCUGAACCAGCCAAGUAGCGUGAAGGAUGAAGGCUUAUGAGUCGUAAACUUCUUUUAUAUAAGAAUAUGUAUUAUAUGAAUAAGGAUCGGCUAACUCCGUGCCAGCAGCCGCGGUAAUAC
rnacentral:rRNA from 1 species